AAAAAAAAAAAGAAAAAAGAAAAUAUGAAAUAAUAAAAAGAAGGGAAAAGAACCUUGAUAUUAAUAAUUUCUUGAAGGAUGGGUUCAUUCCCUUGAUCUUCUGCACCAUCAGGGGUUGGAGGCCGAUUUACUGAAUGUUUCCUGUUGAGGGAUUUUUAAAAAAAAAAUUAAAGAUUCGAUUUUGAUUAUGAUUUAGUUAAAUUGAAGAAAAAAAAAACAAGAAAUUUACUUACAUGAUGUUAAAUUAAAUCUCUCAAAAUAGAAAUGAAAAUUUGUGAGGAAAUUGGAGAAAUUUUUAUACUUCGAAACAGCUAGAAACCAAAGAAAAAAAGAAGGGAUUUUAAAUUUUUUUCCUCGGCCUACACCGUCACCUAGAAACGACAACGUAGGGGAUAUUUCAGACGAAGGAAGUAUUUUACCAGAUUUGCCCCUAGAUUUAGUUGCAUUUUACAAGGCCAUCUCUUGAAGCCUUUUUCAAGGAUGGACACAGGCCCUUCACAUAAAGAAUUCCAUAGCUGUUAGCUUGUUAGGCCUUAGAUUUAGAUACUGCCUUUAGUAUAAGAAUUUCGUUGGAACUCUUCUGAUAUUAGAGAAAGAUAAAUGUAGGACCCUAACCCUCAGAUCUUACUAAUAUGGAACACCUAUGAGGCUAUGACAACAAAGUGUCCAAUUGCCCAUCCAUGUAUAUUGGGUAGCUGUUUUUAUGUCUCUCUUUGUUUUUUUUCAUUGAAUUGCAGAUGGAUUCAGCUGCAUAUGUCCAACUUGAACAGGUGCUAGAUAUUUGUGGAACCUAAGAGCCAUUUCCAAACACUCGAUGGGACUGAGUUCAUGUUCGCGUGGGGCACUAGGAACAGAUAAAUAACUUGGCUAGCAUCCUCAAGUAUGUGGCUAACUUUCCUGAUUGGGCAAAGAACAGUAUUACGUAGUCCCGGUAAUGCUGUUUUAGUGGUUUCUUAUGUAAUCUAUGGAAGAAAAUUGAGUGGUUGAAAACUUUGCAUCUUGGUCGCUUUCAUAUUCUGUGUUAAGAUCAUGUGACCGUCACUGUUCCCUAGUAUUGCUAAUUUAAUGCUGUUUUUGAGGCUCAUAUUGUGCCAUCCUACAAUAAUGGCAUCUGCUGAAAAAAAAAAAAAACUCUCUCAAGCAGCUCUAGGGUAGAGGUGAUCAUGGGCCGGACCGGGCCGGGUUUGGGCUGGGCCCAUAUAAAUUUUUAGGCCCAUCUAUUAGGAUCGGGCCCGGCCCGGCCCGAAAUAUGGGCCUAAAAUUUUGCCCAAGCCCGGCUCGAAAUAAAAUUACUAAGUCCGAGCCCGGCCCGGCCCGGCCCAUAUUAAAUUUUUUUAUUUCAUUAAAUAAAAAAAGUUUAAAAAUAUAAUAAAUCAAAUAUAUUUAAAAACAUAAAAACAAAUAUUAAAACAAAUAAAAAUAAUACUAAAACAAUUCUUAAAACAAUACACAAAUUAAAAAUAUAAUAAAAAAUAGUUAUAUUAAAAAUUUAAAAUAAUUAAAAAUAAAAUAAAAAUAUAUAUAUUAAUAUAUAAUUCGGGCCGGGCCCGGGCCAAAAGACCCUUACCCGAGGCCCAGCCUGUUUUCUAAACGGGCCUCGUUUUUUUGCCCAAGCCUAUUUUUCGGGCCUAUAUUUUUACCCAAACCCUCGCAUUUUUCGGGCAGGCCUUCGGGCCGGGCUGGGCCGCCCAGCCCAUGAUCAGCUCUACUCUAGGGUCAUUGGUAUGAUAAUGGGAUUUCCUUGUCUUAGCCAAGUAGUCAAGUAGCUAAAUUGCUGACUGUUGUAUAGAAAGUUGCAUCUGUGGCCAGGUCUCUCCCUCCCACUAUUAUUGUCCCCCACUCGGAUGACAUCUAUGCUAUCUACCUAUGUUGCCUCAACCUUUUAUUGUUCUCGAAGCAUUAAAAUUCGACUAUGGUACCUAACUUAUAUCCAAACAUGAGUAUAACGGUUGGAAUCUACCCAAUUAAGCAACAAACUAAUAAAAAUAGUGGAAGAAAUUGAAAAAUUAAACACGCAAAUUUAACGUGAAAAAAUUCUUCCAAAGAGAAUAAAAAAUCACGGAUAAAGAUAAUUUUAAUAUAAUGGCAAAAGAACGAAUAAUACAAAAGAUGGAGAUAAAAAUUAAAUCUCAAAACCCGAAAAAAAAAACCCUCAAAACGUAAUCACAAAAUUCUCUAAAAGUGUUAUGAGUUAUAAUCUUUUAAUGGGUGUGUUUUCUAAUGUUGUAAAAGAGCUUAUUUAUAAGCUAAAUUUAUAUGUCAAAUAAAUUAUGCUAAUAAAUGCUUAAUAUAUUAUACUAAUAAAUACUAAAUCUUGUAGAAAGAAAAUAUAUUUUGUUUAACUUAACUUGCAAGCAAUCUCUUAUAUUAGUUAAUAGGAAUUUGGGUCACACAACUCUAACAAUAGAUAAAUGAUGUUUCCAAAUAUACAAAAAAAGAAACUUAUUGAUGCUGCCAAUUGCAAUAUUUAGUAUCAAUUCACAUUGCAACUGAACAAGUUAUAAUUUGUUUAUUUUGUUUGCAUAAUUGACUGAAUUAAAGCGUUUCUUUUUGUGCAUCUUUUUAAGGAAUCUCAUGUAGCAAAUUUCAUGAUUAAUACUGAGGAAGAAAUUCAGUCAACCACGUACAAUUCAAAGUAAUCUAAUGUGAUUGGCUAACUUUAUUUAUAAAAAUAUGCAAUCAAAAAAGUUCAAUUGUAAGGGAUCUUUACUUUAUCUCAUUCCAUAAUGAAAAUUUUGAUUGAGACGAAAUCACAUUGGUUAAUUCUAAUUACACUAGUUUGGUUUACAAGUCUACAAAAUGCUUAUAUAAAAGAGAAUUUUUACGUUUUGUGUGUGAAAAUUAAAGAACUUACUUUAUUUUUUACUCUAAACAUUUGCAAGUGUUUUUAUGUUGUAAAGAAAUUGUUCUAUCAAUUUGGACUAAGCUUUCACAAGGGAAAGUACUAGUGAGAGAUAAAUCUUUUAUAAUUGUACAGGAGUGAGGUUAUAAUUAGUAUGAGUGAGGUAGAGCUUAAAUCAUUUAUUGUACUAUUGAUAUUAUAGUGGAUACUCUGUAGCAAAGCUGACACACGUAAAAUUGGAUCCGAAUUGCAUAAUCAAUUUACUAUGGUCCCUAUUUACAUUCUCAGUCUUUAAUUGUUCAAUUAGUUACAACUUAAAUAACAACUAAAUCCACAACUCAACACUUUCAAUUGAUAUUAGAGCUAGAUACCAACGAAUUUGGUUAUGAUAUUGCUUUUGAUUUUCUAAAACAUGGAAGGAAACACGAUCUCCAAGACACCCAUGCUCAUUGGCUCAUAUUACACCUAUUGAAAAAUAUAUAUAAGGGCAUUUAUCAAGUCAAUAGGCAAGAGAGUGUAGAGAGUUGUUCUUACAGGUUAGGAACCACUACUUGAUAUUGUUAAUGGUGUCAGUGCUCUUAAACCAAAUAAUACUUGGACCACUAAGGAUCUUAAAAUGUAAUUUUUAAUAGUAUAUAUUCUAGGAAUAUGUAUAUAUUUUAAAUUUAUUUAGGUAGAUAAAUCUUAUUUAGGUAGAUAAGUUUUAUUCAUAUUCUAGGAAUAUUUUUAUUUUAUCUUUUAGUAGUUUAUUAGAGUAAGGGAACUAUUUUCUUUUAUGUUUUAGUAGUUUAUUAGAAUAAGAGAACUAUCUUCCCAAUUAGGAUUAUGACCAUUUUCUCUAUUUAAGUUCAGUUCUUUAGUUAAUAAUAGAGAACAAUUUUAUUAAAAGCUCUCUUGAAAACUUUCAUGGCAUCUGAGCUAGGUUAAAUCUCUAGUAACAUCAUGGUUAAAAUAGCCUUCACUGGAGAUAAGAGGUCCAGCAAUCAAACAGAGGAAGAAAGUUCUACCGUUGAAACAACUACUGAGAGUACAAUAACUCAAGGGACAGAAGCCUCUCACCUUUCUUUUCAAGUGACAUCUCACAAGUUGAAUGGCAAGAAUUAUCUGGAAUGGUCAUAGUCCGUAAAAUUAGCAAUUGAUGGGCGCGGCAAGCUAGGUCAUUUAAAUGGAGAAGUCGAACAACCACAGGUGGGUUAUCCAAAGAUGAGCAAGUGGAGGUCAGAAAAUUCUAUGAUAAUUGUGUGGCUUAUUAAUUCCAUGGAAGCAUCCAUAGGUAAACCUUUUCUUUUUCUCCCAACGGGUAAAGAUGUUUGGGAAGCUGUGAAAGACACCUAUUCAGAUUUAAAAAAUGCUUCACAGAUUUUUGAGUUAAAAAUAAAACUUUGGAAAGCUAGGCAAGGGAAAAAAGAAGUUACUCUUUAUUGUAACGAGAUGAUGUCUCUUUGGCAAGAAUUGGAUCAGUGUUAUAAUGAUAAAUGGGAAUGUCCUAGAAAUGGUGUAAAAGCUAUGAAAAAAGAAGAGAAUGAAAGAGCUUAUUUGUUUCUAGCUGGUAUAAAUAAAGAAUUUGAUGAAGUGAGAUCUCGGAUCCUAGGAAAAAAAUGCUUCCAAAACUUAGCGAGAUUUAUUCUGAGGUUAAAAAAGAGGAGACAAGGAGAAAAGUAAUGUUAAAGCUAGGGUUUGAAGCCAAUGAUGAUAAUUCUGCUCUUGUAACUAUUAAAAAUAAUGAUGAUAGUGGAAAAAAGAAAAAACCUUGGUGCGAUCACUGUAAAAAAUAUUGGCACACUCGAGAAACGUGUUGGAAGCUCCAUGGAAAACCGACAAAUGGAAGGAAAAAGAGUGGCAAUGGUUGUGGUUCACAAUUAGGAGAUAGCAGAGCUUUUCAAACAACUAAUGGAAAUUAUGAGGGCUAAAGUUUUCUAGAAGGGUCUCCAUUCACUAAUGAACAAUUAGAGCAUCUACACAAGUUUUUUCAAUCACCACAAUUUCGAAUAAAUUCUUCUAUUCCUAACUCAUCCAAUAAUCCUUCUUCCUCUUUUUCCCAAUCAGGUACUGAUUUUUCUAUUUUUUUCAGUGUCAAGCCUUGUAAAACAAACAAAGGGAUCGUUGAUUCUGGAGCUAGUGAUCACAUGGCUAGUAGUCAUUUUGUUUUUUCAACUUACACACCUUGCGCAGGAAACAAAAAGAUCAAAGUAGCAGAUGGGUCUUUCUCGGCAAUAGCCGGGAAAGGCACUGUUAAAAUUUCAUCUUCCUUGGUUUUACAAGAUGUUUUACAUGUGCCAAAUCUAGCUUGUAAUCUCAUAUUGGUCAGUAAAUUAUCCCAGUCCUUAAAUUGUCAUGUUAUAUUUGACUUCUCUAUGUGUAAGUUUCAGGACAUGGUCUCGGGGAUGAUGAUUGGCAAUGCUAAAGAAUUUGGUGGAAUUUACUUUCUUGAAGACUACCAUCUAAGUCAACUAACAACUACUUUAUGUUUAAAUUCUGGUUCUGAUUUUGAUAAGGUUAUGAUUUGGUAUUAUAGGCUUGGACAUUUUACUAUUUAAGAUAUUUGUUACCUAAUCUAUUUAAAAAUAAAAGUCCUUAUUCAUAUCAUUGUGAAUUUUGUGAAUUGGCUAAACAUCACCGAUCAUUCUUUCCAUCUCAAAAAUAUAAGGCCUCCAAACCUUUUUCGUUAAUUCAUAGUGAUGUUUGGGGACCUUCAAGAGUCUCCACUUUUUCGGGAAAACGUUGGUUUGUCACAUUUAUUGAUGAUCAUAUUCGUAUUUGUUGGGUGUUUUUAUUAAAAGAUUAAAUCUGAAGUUAAAAAUGUGUUUCAGUCCUUUUAUACUAUAGUGAAAACACAAUUUGGUGUGAAAAUAGAAGUAUUUCGGACUGAUAAUGGUAGGGAAUUUUUUAGCGACCAAUUAAGUGUUUUCUUAACCAAACAUGGAAUAGUCCACCAAAGUUCUUGUACAAAUACACAAUAACAAAAUGGGAUUGCAGAAAGAAAAAAUCGACAUCUUUUGGAAGUAACUAGAGCCUUGAUGUUCACUAGUCAGGUACCACGUUAUCUUUGUUAACAACUACAUAUCUUAUUAAUAGAAUGCCCAGAAAAACUCUAAAUUAUAGAACUCAUUUUUGUCUCUUUAAAGAUAACUUUCCUAACUCUAAAUUGAUCAUAGAUUUAUCCCUCCGAGUUUUUAGGUGUAGUGUUUUUGUUCAUCUUAACAACCAAGGUAAACUAGAUCUUAGAGCAAAAAAAAAUGUCUUUGUUGGUUAUGCUUCUAAUAAAAAGGGUUAUAAAUGUUAUGAUCCAAUUGAUAGUAAGAUUAUUGUUACCAUGGAUGUCACAUUUAAUGACACGCAAUCUUAUUUUGAUUCUAAUCUUCAGGGAGGGAAUUAUACUAAGGAAGAUUCUAUAAUUGAUCAAGAAAAGACUAGGAAUAUACAACCUAGGGAUUCUAAUAAUAAGGAAGGUGAAUUUAUGAUUAACAUAGAAAUUAAUAAUGUUAAUGUUAAUGAAAAGGAGUAUGAAGGUGUAGAGUCUAAUCAUGAGAAUAAAGAACAGACAAAGGAGUUAAUUGUUUACUAAAGAAGAAAUCAAAAUUAAGAAAGUGGAAUCCACUAGAUUCAUCACCAAGAAUCCGACCUACAAGAUCCUGUCAAAAGUCCAGGUAAUGCUCAUAAUCCAGCCAAUGAUUUUUCUGAUUUAGAUAUUCCAAUUGCCAAAAGAAAAGGUGUUAGAAAUAUUGUAAAAUAUUCCAUGUCUAACUUUGUAUCCUCUAAAGUCUUGUCUUCGACAUUCUCAACCUUUGUUUCGUGUCUCGAUACUGCAAAAAUACCCAAAAAUGUGAAAGAUGUUUUACAGGUUCCUGAGUGGAAGGAGGUUAUUUUAGAGGAGAUGUGUACUCUUAAAAAUACAGGUACAUGGGAAAAAUAGAAUUACUUGUAGGGAAAAAAACAGUGGGCUGUAAAUGGGUGUUCACAACCAAAUUCAAACCAGAUGGAUCUUUAGAUAGAUACAAAACCCAGUUGGUGGCUAAAGGGUACACUCAAACAUACGGGAUAGAUUAUCUUGAAACGUUUGCUCAAGUGGCCAAAUUAAAUUCCGUUAGAGUUCUUUUAUCAAUUGUUGUUAAUCUUGAUUAGUCUUUACAACAGCUAGAUGUGAAUAAUGCUUUCCUAAAUGGGAAACUUGAAGAAGAAGUUUACAUGGAUCCUCCUUCAGGUUUUGAAGAAAAAAUUAGAACUCGAGUAUGUAAACUCAAGAAAUCUUUGUAUGGUCUAAAGCAGUCUCCUUGAGCUUGGUUUGAAUGAUUUACUCAAGUUGUUAAAAACAAGGUUACUCACAAGGGCAAGCUGAUCACACAAUGUUCUAUCGACAUUCACAAAAAGGUAGAAUAGCAGUUAUUAUAGUUUUUGUCGAUGAUAUCAUUCUUACAAGAGAUGAUGUGGAUGAAAUAAGGCAUCUCAAGGAGCAUCUAGCAUUGGAGUUUGAGAUCAAAGACUUGGGUCCUUUGAAAUACUUUCUUGGAAUGGAAGUUGCUCGAUCAAUGAAGGGUCUUGUGGUCUAUCAGAAAAAAUAUGUUAUUGAUCUUUUAAAAGAGGCUGGGAUGAGUGGUUGUCGCCCAGCUAACACAACAAUUGAUCCAAAUGUAAAAUAUGGAAAUAAAGAAGGUUGAUUAGUUGAUAAAGGUCAGUACCAAAGAUUAGUUGGUAAGUUAAUUUACUUAUCACAUACAAGGCCAGACCUAGCUUUUGCAGUGAGCUUAGUGAGUCAAUUUGUGCACUCCCCAAUGGAAGAACAUGAAGAAGCAGUGUUUUGAAUUCUAAGAUACUUGAAGAGUUCACCUGGAAAGGGCUUAUUCUUCAAGAAAUCCAAACAAAGAGGAAUUGAAGCUUAUAUAGAUGCAAAUUGGGCAGGCUCAAUAACAGAUAGAAGAUCUACAUCAGGAUACUAUACAUUUUUUUGGGGAAACCUUGUGACUUGGCAAAGCAAAAAACAAAGUGUUGUAGCAAGAAGUAGUGUAGAGGCUGAGUUUAGAUCAAUGGCUUAAGGAAUUUGUGAAUUAAUGUGGUUAAAAAGAAUUAUGAAAGAGCUGAGGAAACCAAUAACUUCACCAAUAAAGUUGUACAGCGAUAGUAAAGCUGCCACUAGUAUUGCUCACAACCCAGUCCAACAAGACAGAACUAAACAUGUAGAGAUUGAUAGACACUUUAUCAAGGAGAAGAUUGAAGAAGGCCAAGUGUGCAUGCCAUUUGUUCCUUCAAAACAACAGACUGCUGACAUACUUACCAAAGGACUCUCUAAGACAAGCUUUGAUUUUCUUGUAAGGAAGUUGGGCAUGAUUGAUAUAUAUGCAUCAACUUGAGGGAGGGUGUUGAAAUAUGUAUAUAUUUUAAAUUUAUUUAGGUAGAUAAAUCUUAUUUAGGUAGAUAAGUUUUAUUCAUAUUCUAGGAAUAUUUUUAUUUUAUCUUUUAGUAGUUUAUUAGAAUAAGGGAACUAUUUUCUUUUAUGUUUUAGUAGUUUAUUAGAAUAAGGGAACUAUCUUCCCAAUUAGGAUUAGGACUCUUUUCUCUAUUUAAGUUCAGUUCUUUAGUUAAUAAUAGAGAACAGUUUUAUUAAAAGCUCUCUUGAAAACUUUCAUAGAUCCCUAGGAAUUCAAGAGAAUCUCAAAAUACACCAAUGCUCGUGAGGCUUGGACUAUUCUUGAAAAAAAAAAUGAGGGAACUACAAGUGUGAAAUAAUCCAAACUCUAGAUGUCAACAAUUAGAUUGUGAAUCUAAUAAUACAAGAAGAUGAAACUUUAUAUGAUUUUCAUACUAAAUUAUAUGAUAUCUCUAACCAAGCAUUUUCUAUUGUAGAAGAGUACUCAAAUGCUAAGUUGGUGCAUAAUUUCUUAAUAUCUCUCUCAAGACAUUUCUUAAUCAAGGUGAUAACCAUAGAGGAGGCUACGAACAUCACAUGAUGAGCAUUGAUUAGUUGAUUGUGUCCAUAAAAAAAAUUGAGAUGAAUUUGAAAGAUGCCAAGAGGAGAAAAGUAAAGACAAAAAAGAACAUUACUUUGCAAGUUGCUUCUUUAGUUGUAAUCGAUGAAGAAGCUACCAUUGAAGAUAUGUAAAAGAAAUUAGCUUUACUUAUUAAAAUUUUUAACAAAACAUUUAAAAUUUUAUCAAAAAAGAGCACAAAUUAUGAAGGAGAUUGAAGCUUCAAUAAAGGAAAAAAAAAGGAAAAGAAGUAGCCAAUGAGGAAAUCCUUACACAAAAGGGAAAAAAUAAUACAAUGUCACAAAUGUGAGGGUAUAACACAUACAAGUUGAGUGUGUCAAUAUGUUGAAAAAGAAGAAACCUUAAUUGUGACAUGGAGUGAUGAUGACUCAACCAAUAAGAAAGAUGAAGAUGAGGAGAAUAUCAAUAAUUAUUUUUCCUUUACAUUUAAGUUGGUAAUUGAAGUUGCAAAUGACUCUGAGAACAGUAGUGAUAGUAGUGUUGAAUCCAUUGAAGAUUUCAUAGAUACCUAGAAUGCUAUGCUUGAUAAGUGAGUCUAGGCUUGUAAAUUCUAUUAUAAAACAAUAAAACUAAAUGCUUUUGAAAAUUUUGAAGAUAAAGACUCCUUAUUGACAAAAAGGAUCUAAACUUGGUGAAGAUUGUGAAGAAGUUGACUGCAGAUCAAUUUAUUUUAAAAAAGAUGUCGAAAAGUUACAAAAGAAGUUGGAUGGAAUCUUGUUGUUGCAAAAAGGAAACCUGGUCAUGGAGGCUUGGUGUAUGUUGACACAUGUGAUGAAAUAGUAACCUCAAUAGUCUUUAUGAAAGUCAAGAAGAAUGCUAACAAACCUGAAAGCUCCAAGAAGAUCAAAGUUGUUCACACUAGGAAAAGUAAUGUGCCAUUAUUGUAGAUUUACAAGAAAUAUUAGGUCCAAAUGUUACAAACUACUAAAAGAUCUUAGAAGAAAGUAGUUAGUUAAUCUAUAGUUGCAACUAGCGUUACAAUUGAUAGAAAACAUAAUAAAAAAAAUUCUGAAGAAGAAAAUACCAAAAGUGUUUUUUGGUUGUUCACGUAUCUUUUAAAGCAUCCAUAAAGCAUAUUUAAUAUUUUGGUAGCAAAUAUUCCAAGCAUAUGACUAGAAGUAGAGACAUCUAAAAGAGUUUCAAGAAAACCAGAAGGUAUAAUACUUUUUUGUUAUGAUAAAUGGAUGCUUGAACUCCAGAAUUUGUUCCUUGGUAAGGGCUUGAAAGCCACCCUGAUUUACCAAAGAUCAGGACAAGUUAGUAAACUUUACCAAAGAUAGCUAUAAGGUGACUAAAAAGUAAAAUGAACUAAUUUUGAAGGGUGUAAGGACAUUUGAAUUUUUUUUAUAGGCUAGUGGAACCAUUCACUCACAAUGGAGACAAAUUUUCAAAGAUGAAGUUAUGGCACAAUAGGCUUUUGCCACAUACACUUCAAAGGUUUGUAAAUACUAGUAAGGUAUGGACUACCAAAUUCAGGAGAGUAUUACCCAAGUUGUAAGGUAAGUGCUUGAAAGGUAGACAACAACAUGAGUUACAUCCUUAAUUACAACUUAUUCAAAAAACUAACCCUUUAAAAUUUUUGCACAUGAAUUUGACGGAGCUAUUGCAUAUCAAGAACUUGGGGGUAAAUAUUUAUAUGCUUGUAUGUGUAGAUGGUUAUUCUAAGUAUACUUGGGUUGUGUAAAGAAUAUAACACAUUUGAUUCCUUUAAGAAAUUAUGCAAGAAGUUAAUGAAUGAAAAAUGGUAGCUCAUUAAGAAGAUUUUUGUAAUGAAGUAGGCAUUCAACAAGAUUUUUUUCACUCCAAAAAAUAUAUAGUAGAAUGGAAUUGUUGAGAAGAAGAAUAGGAUCAUUUGGAAUAUAGCUUGAGUCAUUUUAAAUGCCAAUGGGAUUUCUCAGAUGUCCUGAGUAAAAGUUGUUAAUAAAACUUUCCAUGUAAUUAAUUUAUCUUUGUUGAGGUAAAAAAGACUAUGAUGAAAUCUUAUGAGAUUUGGGAAAAAGAAAGCAAACCUUGGGUACUUUCAUGUAUUUAGGAGUGUAUGCUACAUAAUUUUAAACAAAGAGUACAAAAGGGAAUUUUGAGGCUCGCAAUAAUAAAGGCUAAAUGCAUAUUCCUUGGUUAUUCCACAAAUAAAAAGGCUUAUAAAAUUUAUAGAAAAUGCAUUGAAUUUGUGAUGGAGUUCUAUGGUGGUUAGAAACGAACCAGUAAACCCCUCAACAAAUGAAUAUCCUAACGAUUAACUAAUAGAGACAAUUGCAGAAAAAGUUGCAAUAGAAUAAGCAAUUGAAUCGAAUGACAAUGGAAGUCAACAUGUGGAUGAACUAUCUUAGCCUCAACUAUCCUUCAAGUUAUGUAAAAAUUACCCUUUUGAUGAUGUUAUUGGUGGUUUUGAUAGUCGCAUAAAGACCAAGGAUGAGACUAGACCAAACUGAUAUGACAUGGUUAGGAUAGCUUAUUACACAUCCCUCAUUAAUCCAUAUAAAGUGGGCGAAACUCUUAAAGAUGAACAUUGGAUUUAGGACAUGUAAGAAUAAUUGAACCCAUUCAAGAGGAAUGGCAUAUGACAAUUAGUUCCCAUACUAGAAGGUGGCAUGUGAUUGGGACAAAGUGAAUUUUUAAUAGUAAAAUAAAUAAACAUGGCAAUAUUAAAAGGAAUAAAUUUAAGCUUAAACGUAUGGGUGUGCUCAAGUGGAGGAAGAUUACUUUGAUGAGAAUUUUUCACAUGUUGCUUGUUUGGAGGCCAUAAAGUUGCUACUAGUUGUUUCAAAUUACCUAAAUAUCAAAUUAUACCAAAUGUACAUGAAAAAUGCAUUCCUAAAUGGAGCAGUCUUUGUUGAGCAACGUAAAGGUUUUGAAUAUAUGGAACAUCCCAACCAUGUUUAUAAGCUUAUUAAAGUCUUGUACGGCCUGAAGCGAGCACUAAGGGCAUAGUCCGAGAGGCUUUCGAAGUUUCUAUUAUAGUAAGUUUACAUGGGGGCAAUGUAGAUAAAACUAUGGUUAUAAAAAAAAGAAUACUGAAAUGAUUGUUGCAAAUAUAUAUAUAUGUAGACAAUAUUAUAUUAGGCUUAACAUCCCAUCAAGCUAAAGAAACCUUUUUUUUAUAAUGAUGCAACUUGAGUUUGAAAUGAGUACAAUAGAAGAAUAAUCUUAUUUCUUGGGUUUCUAGAUCAAGCAGCUUCAAGAUGAAACAUUUCUAUCCCAAGAAAAGUAUGUUUAUAACUUGGUUAAGAAUUUUGGUUUUGAGAUACCAAAGGUAGAGAAGACACCAAUAGGAGUUCAUAAAACAAAGCACAAAUUCAGUAGGAGUUGCAAUUGACCCUACCAACUACCAUAUUGAUAGGUAGUUUUUUUGUUAUCUCACUACAAGUAAGCCAAAUUUGUACUAUAGUGUAGGUAUGUAUGCCAAGCAUCAAUCUAAGCCUUAAGAAGUAAUAUUUAAAAGUUGUUACAUGCAUUAUUAGAUAAGUUAAUGGAAUUCUUUGUAACACCCCUUACUCAGUCCGGUUGCCAAAAUUGCCAAACUCGAGUAAUAGGAUGUUACAAACAAUUUGCAAAUCAAUUACUUGUAAUUUAUUAAUAAAAAUCUCAAUUAAAUAUCAUUACAUCAUAUAUGAAAAAGUAUAACAUGUAAUUCAAUCAAUUUUGAGUUUAUAUCGAGCUUACGAAAGCUUAAAACGAACCUGAUAUCAAACAGAGAUCAAUUUGAAACAAAAAAUAUAUAUAUAAGAAAAAUUUGUAAAUAGGAGUCACACGACCGUGUCACCUGACCGUGUAGAAAGCUAAGGCCAUGUGGGGUGGAUCACAUAGCCAUGUGGACAAUUUGUGUAACAGCCUAAGCCCGUGUAGGUUUGGAGUCACACAGCCAUGCGAACAAACUGUGUAACUCACAGAUGUCGUAUGGGUCAAAAGUGUAAAUAUUCAAAAGAUGUCACAUGGUCGUGUCGCUAGAUCGUGUAACAGACUGUGGUAGUGUGUGCAAAAAAUCACUCAAAACACAAAAAUCACACAGUCGUGCCAUAUGUCGUGCAUGGCACACGGUUGUGUGCCAGGUCGUGUGUACCUGAAAAUACCUUUUAAUACAAGUUUUAUAACAUCCCAAAAAUUGGGGGUUAGUAGAAUCGGGUUUGGGAAUCGAGAGAGUGUGGUCAUGCCCUAAUUUUUGAGAUUAUUUAUGCAUUUUUAGGAAUAAAUGAGGUAUUGGUUUGUUAGAUAAGUGUUAGUGAAACAUUCCUUGAAACCGAAAUUCAAAUCCCUUCUCUCUUAUCAUUUUUAUUAUUUUGCUAGUUUUGCCUCAAAUCCUAGGAUGUGACAUGCCUUGUUUUUAGAAUAAAUAUUGCAAAUUUUUUUCAAAAAUAAGGAAAUAGUUUAUUGGUUAAUUGAUAAAUGCAAAGGCAUGGAAAUUAAAUUAAGGUCCCAAGUUCGAAUAUUUUCUUAUGUAAAAUAACUAUGUUUUUUUUACAAAUUCCCAUGUUUUUAAUGUGUGUGCCAUGAAUACCCUUGUAAACCUAAGUAUAAAUGUAACACCCCUAACCCGUACCCGUCGCUAGAAUAGGGUUACGGAGCAUUACUAUACAAUCAAAACAUUUAAACAUAAUUUCAUUCAAUAACAUGAACAUAUCAUAAACUAAUCAUACAUAUACAUACUGUCCUUGAAUCGAGCCCUCGAGGCCCUAGAAAUAACUUAGAAACGAUUUGGGACCAAUUUGAAAUCAUUUGGAAAGUUUAGGAAAAAGUUAAAAAAUUUUAGAAAUUGGUGUCACAUGGCCGUGUGCCUCACACGGCUGAGACACAAGACCGUGUCUUAGGCCGUGUAACCUUCAAAUUAGUGACACAAGGCCAUGUUUCAGCUUGUGUCCUCACUUGUGUAACUCUCUGAGUAGGGUCACACGGCCAUGUCACAUGUUCAUGUGCCAGGCCAUGUAACUCUCUGAGUUGCCCCACAUGCCCGUAUGCAGGGCCGUGUGUUAGGCCAUGUAACUCACUGACUUGCAUACAAAGGAACUCCCAAAUGACACACGGCUAUGUCGCUAGGCUGUGUGCCACACACGGCUAAGUCACAUGCCCGUGUCUCAGGCUGUGUGGACCUAAAAUUCACCUAGAAUCAAACCAUUUUCAUACCAUAUCAUGCUUAACUUCUCAAACCAUUCACGCAUACAUUAAAAGAACCUAAACAUACAUAAAAAUACCAUUUCAAAGUCCUAACACAACUAACCAAUCAGCCAUUCAAAGGCACCUCAAAUGCAUUCAUCACCACUUACCUAAACAUGCAAAUUUUACCACAUUUUAAUCAUUCAAUUCUAGUUCAAAACUUACCAAACAUGCCACAACUUGACCAUUACCAUACCAUUUCAAAUAUACCAUAGAAGUUAUUCAAAACAUGCAUCGUAAGUUAACCAAAAUGACACAAUCUAGCAAGAUAUCAAAUGGUACCAACCAAGCUAACUUCAACAAAUUAUACAUACCAAAUCAUCAACUAAACAUUCAACUAAAUACCAUUACAAGUCCACCUAUACAUGCCAUUAUAACCUUGGACAAAACAUUCAAAAACUAUCGAUAUUUAUACUGGAUAGUGUGAUGGAUCUCUGACGAGUUUCCAAAACGAUCGAGCUUCCAAUAAUCUAUAAAACAUAGGAAAAAAACUACAUAAGCAAUUAAUGCUUAGUAAGCUCGUAUAACUUAAACACAACUUACCAUUUCAUUUGCAUAAUGUAAAUAGCAUAAAUGUAAUACCAACUAAUGCAUAAGCUUGGCAUAAUGCCUAUAAAACAUCACAAACUUCACAAGUUAGUACAUUUGUACAUGGUUUAAAUGAAUUCAUCCAUAACAAGUAAUUUACACAUGUAUUCUCAUCAUCUAGAUCACCAUUUCUUUUUCAUAAGUUCAUGAUACAUAUCAUUUGAACACUUACCAUUUCAUUUCCUUUUCACUCCCGUUGAACCAUCAAAAAUUACAUCGGAUACUCGGGAAAGCUCACACGAAAUGUGCCUUUACAUAAUCGUAACCUUUCCUUUACAUCAUUGUUCACAUGAGCUGUGAAAUAGGCCUACUCACAUGAGCUGUGGGUUGGAAUGUAAGCUACACGAUGCUACUCACACGAGCUGUGGAAUAUCCACAACAAAUGCAGGUCCUCAGUCAUCGAUAAGACAUUCAAGACCAGCACCUGAAACAUGAAAUCCCUAAGACAUGUCAUUUGUAUCCUACAAAUUCCUAAGGUUCAACAAGGACUCGAUAACCAUCAUAGCAUUGAUCGUUCAAUUAACAUUAUAAGUAACACAAUUACAUGUAAUUUAAAUAGAAUUAAUAUGAUAACUGUCCAUACGAACUUACCUUAACUAUUAGGGCGUAAAAGUUAAAUUGAACUAUUUCAAAGCUUUUGUUUUGCCUUAAUCUAGGUCCGUACGUGGUCUUUCUUGAGCUAAAUAGAUAAUUACAAUCCAUUUAAUACUUAUGUAAAAUUACUAUUUUACCCCUAACAUUUUAACUUUUUACAAUUUAGUCUUUAGACUAAUAACUUAAAAUCUAGCCAUUUUAAUCAAAAUUCAUGUUAACCAAACAUGCAAGGGACUUUGAAACAACUCAUGUUUAUCACCAUUUUACAUUAAAACCCUAGAAUUCAUACCUUUAACAAUUUAGUUCCUAAUUUCCAAAAUUCAUCAAAAAUCAUUUUGUAAAACUUAUUUAUUUAUCAACAAAGGUUUAUAAUCUAGCAUUUAACAAUAAGAGCCACUCAAGAACAUUCAUGGUAUAACAUUAAAUCUUUAAACUAGCUAAAUUAAGCUAAACUACUUCAAAAACAUAGAAAUCAUUAAAAACGGGGUUGUAAAUCAUACCAUGCAAGCAAAGAAGCUUGACCGAACCUUAAAACUUCAAAUAUGGAGUUUCCUAUCCUUAAUUUCAGUGGAGAAACAAACUAAAGAAGAUGAUACUAAUUUCUUUUCUUUUGUUUUAACCUUAAUUACCUAAUUACCAUUUUAACCUUUAAAAACUUUAAUAAUUUCAUCAAAACCAUGCCAUGCAUAUCCACUGUCUUAUUUAAAUGGUUUAUUUACCAUUUAAUUCCCUUAGAUUUCCUUUCCAUAGUCUUUUAGCCGUUUUUAACUAAUAGAACUCCACUUUUUAUGAUUUAGUCCUUUUCACUUAUUAAUCAUGCAAACAUUAAAAUUUCUUAAUGAAAUUUUAAUACGACCUUACUAAUAUCCCAUAAACAUUAAAAUAAUAAUAAAAUAAUAAAAUAAAAAUUUAUUCGUCAAAUUUUUUAUCCUAAAAUGUAACACCCCUUACCCGUACUCAAUGCCGGAACAGGGUACGAGGCAUUACUAUACUUGAAUGCAAUCAAAUACCCAAAAACCGGACCAUAGAAUUUUGUUCCAAUUAAGGUCAUUCAAACAUAUACUUAACAUCCCCUAUACGAGCCUACAAGGCCCAAAACAUACAUUAGGAAAGAUGUGGGACUAAACCGAAAAUUUUUGGAGCUUUUACAACACUUAGAAAAUUUUCAUGUUUUGGAGAGUCAUACGCCAGUGUAGGUAGGCCGUAUGGACACACACGCCCUUGUGGCUUGGGACAUGACUGUGCCUUCAGCUCCUGUAACUUUCUAACUAUGAUGUCAUCAACCAAAUAAGGUCACACGGCCAGGGCACACGCCCAUGUCUUUAGGCCGUAUGGCAAAUUAAAUUCCAAAUUCAGUUGCAGGCUUCACACGGCCUGGGCACACGCCCGUGGGGUAUACUGUGUGUCACACACGGUCUAGACACACGCCCGUGUGUCUACCCGUGUGGACAAGGCUAUUUUCCAAGCCAAAUGCCAUCCUUAUUUGUUCAAACACACGUAAACAAAAAAGCAAUAUUUCUUAGACUUGCAUACAUGCGCUUUCAUAACAUUUUAUACACACACAUGACAUUCCUCCAUAUUCAAUCAUCAAUAACCAUAGGCCAUAUCAUAAUGGAAUUGGCACAUACAUACAUAGAUGAAUUGAUUUACAACCUAAUAUUCAUUUUGAGCCAUAUCUCAUGGCCAUACACAAAAUGAAUCAACUAUCAUCAUAAGCCAACACAUUUGGCUAAACCAAUAUGACAUAUAACAAAAAGACCAAGUCCCUCUACAUGCCAUACUCAAAACGUUGAGAUUAACUAUACCCAAAUAAUCCAAUUGAUAGUGUGAACGUGCCUCCGACGUAUUCUGAUUCCCGAGCUAGCUUGACUAUACUAUAAGAAAAUGGAAAAGAGAGAGGGUAAGCAUAAAGCUUAGUAAGCUUGUAUGUAAUUAAUAAGUAAUAAGAAUAUUCAUUUCCAUUCACAUACAUAACAUAGCUUGACUCGUCUCAUUCUCAAUAUCAUAAUUUCUUUACUCUCCUCUUACCAAAGUUUUAUCAUUUAGUAAUCUCAAUACUACGAGCUUAGCGUACAUCCCUGUACUCUUUCAACAUGAUUCUACCUCGUCAUUUCUCUGACACAUCCUCGGGCUGCCCGUUGAACCAUUUGGAAUACUAACAGAUACCCGAUAGACCCCGCUCACAUAAUAAGAUGCCAACGUCAUAUCCCAAAUAUGGUCUUACAUGAGAUCACCACUCGAUGCCAAUGCCAUGUCCCAGACAUGGUCUUACAUGGGAUCUCAUAUCAACGCCAUACCCCAGAUAUGGUCUUACAGGAUAACACAUAUCGAUACCGAUGCCAUAUCCCAGAUAUGGUCUUAUACGGGAUCUUGUUAACCCGAAUGUCGUGAUAUUUGUACCUUAAGUAUUCCUAAGGUUCAACCAGCUUUCAUCACCUCAAUUCUUUAUCGGACAAUAUCAAUAAUACUCACAAAGAAAAAUAAACAAUUCAUGCAACAUUAAAUGUUAAAUACAUAAUAGGAUGUUACGCCAAUUACACACAAACUUACCUCGGUACAAAUAUGGGCAACUAAUUCGAUUUAGUCCAAGAUCUUGCUCUUUCCCCGGUCGACGCCCGGACUCCGUUUUUCUUGAUCUAUAAUAGAAAAUUUCACUUGUUUAAUUACCACAUUAUUCAAAACAGCCAUAAAUCAUAUUUUGGCAAAAUUAUAGUUUUUCCCCUAAACUUUCACAUAAUUACAAUUUAGCCCUUAGGCUUGUAAAAUGAAAUACGAUGAAUUUCUUUGUUACCCAAGUAUAGCUGAUUCAUAAUCCAUCUUUUUUAACACCUAUUUUUACAUGUUUUACAAACAAGCCCUUUUUAGGUGUUUUCACGAAAAAUCGCUUAGAAAAAUAUGUUCAUCGAACACCAAACUUCCAUAUUCCUCCAUUAAUUAUCAAAAUACAUGCAUGAAACACAUGGGUAAAUUUUUUAACAUAAACCCUAGCUCAAAAUAAUGGUAGAAUUAGUUAUAUUAUGCUUCAAGGAUCUCAAAAAAAUCAAAAACUAUCACCAAAAUGACUUACAUGUGGAGGGUUUGUUGUGUUGAAAAUUUCAAGCUUGCAUGGGGUUUUUAUCCCUAAAAUUUUAGUGGAAAAAGAUGGAGAAGAAGAUGACCAUUUGGUUUUUAUUUUAUUAGUUUUUGUUUUUGUCAUCAAAUACCAACCCAUACUCCAUUUUUUACUUUUUUACUUUUCAUUUAUUACACUUCAUGUACAACCAUACACAUAUAUAAUGGCCUAACUACUCAUUAAUGACCUCAAAUUUUAAGUUCUAUAGCUAUUUAACACCUUUAGCUAAUGGAACACAACUUUCGCAUUUUAUGUGAUUUGGUCCUUUUUCACAAAUUAAGCAUUCAAAUGGUAAAAUUUCUUAACAAAAAUUUUACACAAUCAUUUUAUCAUGCCGUAGACCUCAAAAUAAUAUUAAAAUAAUUUUUAUGACCUUAGAUUGGUGGUCCCGAAACUACUGUUCCGACUAGGCCUGAAAUCGAGAUGUUACACGAAACCACUGUUUCGAUAUCAUUGAAAACUGGUUGUUACAAUAUAUGUUAAUUUUAUACAAAAUAAUCAGCCUUUAUUCAAUUUUUACUCACCCUAGCCGUUCCUCCCCUCUCCUAUCCUCCUUGAUCUUUAAUUUUUUUCUUCUUUCUCCAUUAUUGUCGUCGCUUACACCUAGUUUUACCAUCUCUUUCUUUUUCUUUUUGGCUCAAGAUUUGUUGACAUAUUCUCCACCACAUCGCUAUCAUUUUUCCUCAUUGAAUUUAGUCCCAUAUAUGAAAUCUUGAACUCCAAGAUCUAUCCCGAAUAUUGCCAAGAAAGUGUCAUUAUCGUUUCUCUCAAGUAGCUUGUGUAAGAUCUAUUUUUUCUUUAAUUUCUUGAUUAAUCUUGUCAAUUAAAAGCCCAAAUUUCAACAUCUAGAAUUUAGAGUAAUUUUAAAUAUUCUAAAGGUAUUUUUCUAUAUUUUUAAUGGAUUUUUAAAUUAUUUUUAAAUUAGCCUUGAAUUUCACCACCAUGGGUGGUGGUGGUGUGUGCGCCUAUGUACAAGAAAGGAGGCUAUUUUUUUCUUAAUUCUUGCCCAUAUUUUCCAGAAUUAAUUUGAGUUCUUGAACCCUCCUAAUCAGCCUUAUCACAUAUUAAUUAACGAAAGAUGUUCUUGAUUAAUUAGCUAUUUGAAUUUCACACUUUGGGAAGUGUAAGUGCGAUUAAUUGUAAACUAGUUUGUUGUUUCAACAAAGUUGUUGGGAAAAGGUUAUAGAUUGAUUAAAUGGGGGAUUUUAAUCAAUAUUAGCUACUUAUUUUCCAGUAUGUAAUUGUGUUAGGUGCUGACUGGAACACCCCAAAUCAAUCGUAAAGCUAAAAGAUGUUUGUGCGCACGAUUCAUGACAAAAUAGUGUAAGAAAUCUAACUAGUUUGGAUUCGUAACAUAGUUGUAAUUGUGAAGAUUGGUUUGAAACCAUAAGUAGGUGUUUAGGGGAAUUUUUAAGAGCUGGAUUAAUUUAAUUUAUAAUGGUUUUUAAUUAAGGUUCAAUUUAAAGCUGAUUAAAGAAAUCGGAAGAUUCGCUAGUGUGUUGUGAAAGAGCAUAAAAUAAGGUGUGGGUCCUAAACUCAUAAGUUUAUUUGAAAUUGAUAAUUAUCAUGUUAUAUUUGAAGAAUUAGCUUUUUUUAUUUUUUGGAUAGGCUUAAUAGCCAAUUAAUUAAUUUUGUAAGUGGCCGAACCAAAUACUUUUCGAGCCCUAAAAGAUUGAUAUGUUAGCAAAGUUACUAGUUUGACAGUGUGACUAUGUGAAUGAUAUUGUGAUGCAUGAUUGUGUUAUUUGGUAUGAGAUUGAUUGUAUAUAUAGCAUGAUUUGUUGAGAUAUGAGUUUAUGCAUGAUAUAAUUGCAUGGAUAGUUUGUUAUGUUAUAUUGGAAAGGUUGCUAUACAUGCUCAUUGGAAAACCGUAAAAGUAUGUGAAAUUGUGUACUGUUGAAUGAUAUCAUUUUAAUGGUAAUUUGAAAGUUGGAACACUGUUUCCAUUUACUGAAAGUAUGUGAUUAUUGAGGGCAUGUUAAACAUCUAAAAUAAAUGUGAAAAGUAUUGAGAUAUGAUUAUGUAUGAUUUAGUGUGACAAAUAGCAUUUGCAUUGAGAUGGGAUAUAUUGUGGUUGACGAAUAAGUUCUGUGGUACUGGCGGCAUAUUAAGUUCGCGUUUAUAUGUAGUCAGUGCACUGCACCUGGAGUACCGAAGGGAUUGGAGAUUUUAUUGCAUAUUAUAUGUUAUUGGUGAUUGUAUCGCACUAUUUGUUAUCCGAUAGAUUUUCUGCAUUAUUGAUUAUUCAGUGGUAUUACCACAUCGAGCUAUGCUCACAUUUGUUGGAGUUUGGCAGAUGGGUUCUGGAGAACUCGUGGUGUGUAACGGAUGGUAUGGGUUGGAACGUUUUUGCAUUACAUCAUGCUCACGACAUAUUCAAAUGUUAUUGAUUUAUGCUACGCAUUGUAUUGUGUUGUAUUUAGACCUGCUCAUUGAUUUAUGCUACGCAUUGUAUUGUGUUGUAUUUAGACCUGCUCAUAGGUCGGGCUACCCGCCUGGCCCGAAGGCCCACCCGAAAUGUGGGAGGAUUUGGAUAAAAAUAUAGGCCCGAAAAAUGGGCUUGGAAAAAAAAAUGAGGCCCGUUUAAAAAAUGGGCUGGGCCUUGGGUAAGGUAUUUUUGGCCCGGGCCCGACCCGGCCCGGCCCGAAUUCACUAAAUGACAAAAAAAUUCUGCUAUUUUUUUGUUUUUGAAUGUUAUUUUCUUGUUGUUUUCUCCCUAUUUUGCUACCAUAUUACUAUUAGUUGCUCCUAUUUUGUUAUUAUUUAGAUAUUGUAUAAAACUUAUUUUAUUAUUAAUUAUGUUAUUAUUUUAAAGGAAUUUGUUAAUUUUAUUAUUAUUUUAGAGGUAUUUACUUGUUAAGUUGCAUCUAUCUUAGUGUUAUUUAAGUCUACAUAUUUUUUAAAAUUUAUUUUCAAUUUGUUGGAAAAUAUUUAUUUUGAUUUAUUUUAGUAUUUUUGAUGUAUUAUAUAUAUUUAAAAAUUAUACAAAAUAAUAUAAAAGUAAAUACGGGCGGGCCGGGCCAGGCCUGGGUUUUAGUAUUUUUAUUUGGGUCGGGCUUGGGCAAAAUUUUAAGCCCAUUUUUUGGGCCUGGCCCAGCCCGAGCCUAAUGAAUAGGCCUAAAUUUUUAGUUGAGCCCGGCCUGAACCCGGCCCAGCCCGGCCCAUGAUCACCUCUAGUUGUAUUGAAUGGUAUCAAAAUUAAUGAUUGUUACUCGAAUGAAUGAUGACUCAUGCUCAUACACCGUUUGACAUCAAUUUGAUAAUGGCUCUGUAAUGAUAUGAAAUUCCAAUGAUGGUUCUAUGUUCUUUUGUUAAAGCUAAUAUGUUUCACUGUAUUCGAUAUUUAUGUCUGUUUAAAUAACUAUUCCACUCACACUAAGCUAUCAUAAGCUCACCCCCCAAAAGUGUUUAACUUUUUAGGUAAACCUCGAAAUUAGGACUGGACUCGCAUUCAGAGAAUCACCUUGAACCUCGGACUAUUCUUAAUAAGUAUUAUUAAGUCUUUAUUGGUUUUGAUUAGUAAUUUUUAAUUAUUUCUGGUCUGUGGCUUGGUAACUUUUCUUUUGGGGAUUUUCGCAUGCAUGGAUUACUUAAGCAUAAUAACCUGAUAAUGCAUGAUAUCGAGCUUAAGUAAAAUUUGACAUUAAUCCCUAAUUUCCGCUGCACUACAAAGGAACUAUUUAUUAAAAAAAAUCAAUAAGGCAACUAAGUUUCCAAAAUGACUUGAAAAAUGAUUUUUUCGCUGCAUUAGUUUAACAUCGAGUUUUUACAAAGAAAAGUGACAAGCAAACGAUUUUUUUCUUAAACAAUACUAUCAAUAAUAAAAUGAGUCUUAAGUAUAGAUUAUCUAAUAAAUGAACUCUUUUAAACUAACUCAAAGUGCAAAUACGAUUUUUCUCUAAAAUGAGUUUAUUUAAAGUCUUCAAAAGUAAUGUAAGUUAGCUUAGCCAUUUAUGUGGCUAAUGUAGCCUUCUCAAUCUAGCCAUAAUGUCUAAGCGGAGUUAGGAAGGUUACAGGUUUUCUAACCUUAAUUCAUUUAUGCCUCAAGCAACCAUUAUACCAUAUCUCAACCAAUUCAAAAACAUCAAAAUCAUACCAAAAAUAUCACUUAUAACAAUCACCCUAAGUGUCUAACCAAUAUGCCACGAUUUCACCUCAACCAACAAUUCAAAAUCAACCAAAUAACCACAUUCAACCAUACCAAUAUGCCUUCAAUGUCAUUUGAAAACAAAAAACCAAAUGUGCAUUCAUUUAACCAUUCAAACCAUUUCACAAUUAGCUCCAAAUCAACCUUAUAACUUAUGCACUAAAUCUACCAAAUCAUUUCAAGCAUUGCAUAGGCAUAGAUAUCAAUCUUCCAUAUAUACUCUAUGACAUAUCACCUAAAUACCUUAUAACCAAAUAACAUACAUGCCAACUACUUAACAAAAUAUCAUUAUCACGAUCAUUGCUAAGACACACACACACACACACACACACACACACACACACACACAUAUAUAUAAUUCUCAAAAUGGCCAACAUAAAUCCAUCAUAGAACAUUAUAUAUUUAUCCAAAUGACACCCUAGGUACAUGUCGAGACCAAAAUUAAAUCAUCACCAACACUUGAGUCAGAGAUUGUUGUUGGAUGUUAAGUCGACGAUUGAAUUGUAAAGUACCUAACUUGUGCACGGAAAACAAAACCGUGUGCUAAUUAUAACUCAGUGGUAUUUCUAUCAUCUAAACAUUAAAACAUAACAUAAUACAUUUAAAAUGCCCAAGUUUAAAUUAGAUUAUGCUACGCAAUUAAAAUGUCAAUUAUGUCAAUUCAUACAUUCAUUGUUUAAAUAUAAUACAUUUUACCAAUGUUAUAACAUGGCAAAUCAUCUUUACAUAUAAUUAGAUAUCUCAAUUCAUAUAAUGAUACAUUCCAUCUCAAUUUCUAAAUCCAUAAUUUCAAUGAACAUUUUUAUUAAUGCUCCAACUCAUUUCACAAUUGAGUAUCCCAUUUCACAUUUCAUUUCUAUUUCUCAUUCAUUUGCCAUUGCAAUAACAACAAUUACAUCUCAUAUAGAUUUUCUCCAAACACAGGUGUCGAAACCAUCCUUUUUAUGAAAAAUUUUACAUUUCAUGAAAAACGGGGGAAUCGACUUUUUGAAAAUAAGACAUGGAGUCACCAUCGAUCUUUUGUUUUGGUGUGAUCAGGUCACCUAGGAAUUCGGUUAUUUUAAUAAAACAUUUUGGUUUACUAAAACAACGAUUUCGGUCUAUGAACUUUUGAGAAAACGGGUUCGGGAGUCAGUUACGCAUGAGGAAGGAUUAGCACCCUCACUACGCCCAAAAUUGGUACCAAAUCGAUUAAAUACUGUCCUUAUGUCUAAAAUUAAAAAUGUUUUUAAAAUGCGGUUCUUUUUUAAUAACAUUUGAAUAACCCGAGUUGGUUGCCAAAAAUCUUAUUGUUUCGACGUCCUAAAAUUUAUAAUUAGAAAAUCACAAAAGGAUGCUCAACUAUUUAGUCCAACGAAAAACUGAAACCCAGCACAGUAGGGCAUGAUUCCUCGAAUUUCCAAACAAUGACCAUUGCCUCACCUUAGAAAAUACGAGUGAAAUUCCGAAGGGAUCUUCGAUCGUUUUGAACAAAUGAAAAAGCACAGCCCAGCACGAUAGGGCACGAUUCUCGAAUUGCCAAACAUCGAACAUCGCCUUUGUUUUAAAGGGUUUUCUUAAAAAACAUGAGUGAAAACCUAAAGGAAUAUUCGAUUGUUUUGAACAAACGAGAAAUCACAACCUAGUACGAUAGGGCAUGAUUCCCAAAUUGUCGAACUCCGAGUAUUGCCUUCGUUUUAAAGGAUUUUUUUUAGAAGACAUGACUGAAAUUUUGAAGGGAUAUUUGAUUAUUUUAAGCAAACGAGAAAUUGCAACCCAGCACGUUAGGGCACGAUUCCGUGAAUUGCCAAAUAUCGCACAUCGCCUUCGUUUAAGGAAUUUUUAAAAGAUAUGGGUAAAAUUCUAAAGGAACCUUCGAUUACUUUGAGCAAAUGAGAAAUUGCAAUCCAACACGUUAGGGCACAAUUCCGCGAAAUACCAAAUAUCGAAUGUCGCCUUCGUUUUAAAGAAUUCUUAAUAGUUGUGAAACUAGCUUAAAAAAACAUUAAUUCGAUUUGAAAUAAGACGGAUUUAAUCACAAAAUUUGGAUCUUAUAAAACCGCAUUUCAAAAAUCGAUUGGAAAACGAUGAUAUGGGGUAAUAUGUGUAUGCAUAAAACGUGACAACGGAAGAGUGGAGGCAAUACAAUUUAUUUAACCAACUAACGAGAACUUAAAUGACUAAGCAUAACUAGCUUGGAAAUAUAAUUCAAUUUCAAUCAUGCAUGGAGAAUAAUUAUCACAUCAAUGAGAUGAAUACCAUGCAAUAACAACGUAUAUGCUACAAUAUAGAACAAACAACAAAAUAUAUUCAGAACAAAAUUAAAUUUAAGAGUCAAAGUAGUAUAAGACGAUAUCGAAUCAAAGACGAUUUAAUGAAUCAAUAAUUUAUGCGACAUGCGAAUUAAUGGAUUGGUUAACUUUAAAAUUUAUUUGUGAAAAAAAACUAGGGAUAUACAUCUAAUCAUUUAAAAAACAUAUUAUAAAAUGAAUGUUUAAAUCGAAUAUCAUACCAAAACGUUGAAUAAUAUUGGUUUUAAAAAUGAGGAUUUAUAUAAUAAAAAUUUAAAAUAUGUGUAAAAUAUAUUAAAAAUAAAAAUAAUAAAAAUGUAUAAUACGAUAUAAUCUUUAAAAACAUAAUGGAUCUACAAAUUAUAUGUAUAUAUAUAUAAAUAACUUUUAAAAAUAAUUAUUUGUAAAAACAUAAAAAUACAUACAUGAUUAAAUUAAUUUUAUAACCAAUUAUAUAAUAGUUUUAAGAACCUAACUAUGUAUACAUAUAUAAAGAAAACUAUGUGUAUAAAAUACAUAAGUUUAAUAACGUGUAUAUCAAAUAUAGAUAUCUAUAAACAUAUACAUAUAUAAAAAUAAUUUAGAAGAUGUGUUAUAUAGGAUUAUAUAAUAAAAUACAAUAAUAAAUUUAAGAAAACAUAUGAAUAAGAUAACAUAAGGUUAACAAUAUAUAUAUAUAUAAUAAUAGCUUAAAAUGUAUAUCACGUGAAAUUAUAUAAUAAGAGAUGAGAAUAAAUUUAAAAGCAAAUAUAUGUGUAAAAUAAUAUAAUAUUAAUGAUAUGCAUGAAAUUGACCUUAUUAUAAAGUAUAUAUAUAUGUAUAUAAAAGAACAUUUUAAACAAACAAGUUUAAAGGAGAAUAAAUAAAUAGAUAUAUAGUUACAUAUAGGGACAUAUAUACAUAUAUAAAUGAAAGUGAGACUAACGAAUUAUGACCAUGCAAAACUUAAUAAAAUACUCCAAAAUAAUAUAUUAAAUGGUGAUUGAUAAGUAAAUUUAAAAAAAAAAAAGGUUUCAAAAAAAGAAUGCUGAAAAUAAUGAAUAAAUAAGAAAAACUCAAUUGAAACAGAAGUAAAACCAAGAGGACAAUUGAUAAAUAAAAUAAGUUGCUGAAAUAAGAAGAAGGACUAAAGCUUAACGCGCGCGAAUGCAUGGGGACUAAAAUUGGCAAUAUACCAGAUCCCAGAGUGCUGCAUUUAGGCGCGGAUCCGAUUGCAAAUGAGCACAAAUUACCAGUCCAAAUUUAAAAAGGGAAACAAGGCAAAUUGGACGCGAUUGACCAUACAUGCGAAAAGGGAGGGUCUGACGCGAAAAUAACCCUCAAGAACCCAGGUAUAGGGCUUGGCAAACGGUGUCGCUUCAAAGCCAAUGAACUUGGCUUGAAACGUCGUCGCUUUGUGCACCCUCACAGACCAAAAACGUAACCCUAAAUGGGACUCCUUCCCCUUUCUUCUUUUUCCAGAAAACCAAAGUAAACAAACAAAAAAAAAACAAAAGCCUAUUGCUCCCAUUCGGCCGACCCCAGGAUCCGCGCAGUCCAACCGCCACCACUGCGAACGGUGGAGAACCACAUGCGCGCCCCUCACCUAGAACCUCGGCUUAAAGACCACCGAUUUCAGCCCCAGAAAUCCCACCCCAAGCUUCGAUUUCGGCGAAGUGGAAAGGGAUUUCGAUGGCCCAUUCGCACAGGUAAGCCCUUCUUUUCUUGUUCUUUUAUUUCUUAACAAAAAAAAUAAUGGAAGGCUCGAGGAGAAAACGAAUCAAUUCAUAGAAAACUAAAGCAAUUCCGGAGAACUAAAAAAAUCACCUUUGCUAUUUGAUUCCUUUUUUUUGUAUUCGUAAAUGUGUAAGCCUUCGUAAAAAAAAUACAAUCGGUGCGUUCUUAGCUUUAUAGCCGAAACUAAAAUAGAAAAUUACAAUAUUUCCUUGCUUUGCUGCUGCUGUGUUUGUCUUGUUCACAGGUACGGAGCAGAGGACAUGCGCUGGCCCUUGGCGCGAGGCGUACAGGGCUGUGCUGGCGCGGUACGGGGGCUGUGUUGGAGGGUAUGGAGGUAGCUGGCGUGGGGGCUGGGGCUUGGUUGCCUGGUUGUGGCGCAAAAGUGGGGAAGAAACCCUAGGGUUUCUGUCCUCCAAACAAUGGGCUUAUCGGGCUUGUGGUUUGGGUCUAUGUUUAGUUAUUGGGCUUGUUUGGGACUUGGGUUAUGUAGCUGGGUUUGGGUCUGUUAUAAAACUGGACUGUUGUAUUGGUUUGGUUUAAUUUUUUUAUUUUUUAUUAUUUAUUUAUUUUGUAUAUAUUUUGGUUUCUAGUGGGCCCGGGAAAAUUUGGCCCACUACAACAACAAUUACAUCUCAUAUAGAUUCUCUCCAAACACAAGGAUGUGAUGACUUAUUUAAUAUCAUCAUUUCAAUUAUAAACAGUUCAUUUUUAUCAUUUAACUCCCUAUUAACAUGAAUUAGACUCAGAUGAAUACACGGAUUCAACAAACAUAUCAUUUUGGCACCUAGUGCCUCAUCAGAUAAAUCCGAAGCAAAUAACGUCCAGUGCUUAUCAAUAAGUUUGACACCCAAUGUCUCAUUGGUAUAACCGAAGCAAAUUGGCACCCAGUGCCUUAUCGAUUUGUAGUUGAAGUAACCCUAAACUCUUCCUAUCCUGUGGCUUGCCAACUAUAUCUGACUUUGCCCAAACAAUUAACAGGGUACUCAUUACUUAAUUUAUUAUCAAUCAACAUCUCGUUUCAUAUAUAGAUUCAUCAUUACAUCAUUCAUUCAUACUCAUGAAAACAUCAAUCAUCUUUAUAUGCAU
rnacentral:lncRNA from 1 species